rnacentral:rRNA from 1 species
GACGAACGCUGGCGGCGUGCUUAACACAUGCAAGUCGAACGGAAAGGCCCUGCUUUUGUGGGGUGCUCGAGUGGCGAACGGGUGAGUAACACGUGAGUAACCUGCCCUUGACUUUGGGAUAACUUCAGGAAACUGGGGCUAAUACCGGAUAGGAGCUCCUGCUGCAUGGUGGGGGUUGGAAAGUUUCGGCGGUUGGGGAUGGACUCGCGGCUUAUCAGCUUGUUGGUGGGGUAGUGGCUUACCAAGGCUUUGACGGGUAGCCGGCCUGAGAGGGUGACCGGCCACAUUGGGACUGAGAUACGGCCCAGACUCCUACGGGAGGCAGCAGUGGGGAAUAUUGCACAAUGGGCGGAAGCCUGAUGCAGCAACGCCGCGUGCGGGAUGACGGCCUUCGGGUGGUAAACCGCUUUCGCCUGUGACGAAGCGUGAGUGACGGUAAUGGGUAAAGAAGCACCGGCGAACUACGG